rfam:Aphanomyces invadans strain NJM9701 unplaced genomic scaffold supercont1.23, whole genome shotgun sequence.
GCUCCUGUAGCUCAGUAGGUAGAGCGGUGGUCUUAUGAGCCACAGGUCGAGGGUUCGAACCCCCCCUGGAGCA